CUUAAAAUAAUUCCCACACAAAUUGUAAAUGAAGCUGAUUUAAUAUUCGGAUAUAAUCACUCACUUCAACUAAAAUUGAAAGCCAAGCAAUUGUGAAUGAAGCCUCAUAAUAUAUUUGCAAAAAAAGGAGAAUAUUCUUCCCUCUUAAUUGCUUUCACAAUGCACUUCACUUAAUGUCAUAUUCUUUAUUCGACAGCUUUGCUUGUCAAGCCAUAAAGUGACCAUUAUAUCACUCCAAGAAUAGCAUCAACAAACAAUCUGAGAACAACUCAAUGGAGAGAGAGAGAGAGACAGAGUUGAGGCUCAAUCAGAAAGCCGCCCACCAGUUGACAACGCAGUUCAAUUAACAGGCUGCAAUUGCGACUCAGUCGUCUACUGCUGCUGCUGCUGCUUGGGGGGCAUUUUCAACGCACUUCGCAAAUCAUAAACACAUAAAUAAUAUAGAGAAAGAUAUCAAGAGGAUAGAAAGAGAGGGAGAGAGGGGAUCAAAUAAUCAAUUGGCAUCUUUCAGUUUUCAUCGCUGUCUGCUGAAUGUUGCCAUUUUAAUUGAGUCUAAAAAUAGCUGCGAGUACGAGAACGAAUACGAACGCGAAUGCGAGUGUUGAGACAACAACGAUGUGAGUGCGUAAAAGAAGAUGAGGCAGAGUCCACUCGAGGGGGCAACCACAGCAACAACAACAAAUGCCGCAGGGCCGCAAAAGUUGCAGAGGUCUUUGGCCAGUCGCUUGGAAAUGGAUUUGAAGUGGCAGCUGGAACUAUUUUUGGACCAGUGGCAAGCGGAAGAUUUCAGUUAGAACCAACUACAGCUGAAUGGUGCUUAAUCUAAGAUAGUUUAACGAGUCUAUUUUUAAGUAAAAUGGUCACUAGAAAAACCCAACUUAACACCUCCUAACUCAACAUGAUUAACAAUCCUUUAAAGUACUAAAAUUUCGUAUUCGCUUAUCUAUAUCUAUGCGCAAAGUUGCCCCACAAUCGUUUCGUAGUUACAAAAGCUAUAAAAACUCGACUCAACAA